AUCACAAUAUGAACCACCUGUGUUGUGUUUGCAGUCCUGAAUAGAAGAUGAAAAGUACAAAUUCACAAUUAUAGAAUAUUCACAAUUAGACAAAGACCUUGAAGGUCGUUUAUCUAACCUAUCUUCUCAACUGGAUCGUAAGAAGUCUGCAAGAAAGGAAAGUGGUCCCCUACGAACUGGCUUCCCAUGCUGACUUCUAACAACAACUGCUUCGAUUUUCCAAGAUUACGAUGAAGUUUUUUGCAUUGUGCUCUGCAGAGCUGGUGCUGUACAUUUGGGGAGCUGAAUAAGCCGAAUACCCUUUUCAGUCAUAAGCACACUGAAGUCAGAAGGAUCUGUCUCCAGAAAUGUUGUUUACUUCUAAAGGGUGCAUUCUUAUUGCUUGUGUGUAUACAAUCAACAUAUCUUUGAAAUGAAAGCAUUAGUCACCAUAUUAAAUUUUCACAUAUUUGGUAGACUGUUAAUGCCAACUAUUGAGACCCCCUAGUCAAACAAUAUUAUGGCUUUAGUACCUUCAGCUGGGCUAAAUUCUACUCCAUUAGGUCAUUUAAGUCUACUUGAUUGUUACUUCAAGUGCUAAUAUACAAAAAUAAUCUACAGGCCAUACUUAAAGGAACAAGAACAUUAAGAUAUGCUUUUAAAAGAUGUGACAAAAAUAAUUUCAAUGUUACAAAAGAAAAAUCCUUUACAAUUCAUCUUUUUUAAAGCAUUAUGUCAAAUUAUUUGUACUUUUCCUGAAAAAUAAUGGAUUCUUCUUUUGUGUUAAGUUUAGAUUUAAAUGCCCUCAGAAAUAUCUUUAUGCAGUUCAUAUUCUUAAAAAAAGUUUAUGUCAAAGAUGCUAUUAAAUUGAGGGGAGCUAACACACACUUAAAGCUUACAGAUUGGUAUUUGCAGCUGCUUCUUUUUUAAGUUUAAAAAACAACAACAACAACAAAAACACAAAAACACACAACAAAAACCCUUCCAUCUUCUGAGAAAACAAUUCACAUUAUGAAGAGCUGACCUUCUUCUCUUUGAAUAAUUUUCUAAAAAUAUAACUCUAGUACAUUUCCAUGUACUAAUUCUCCUUAAUCCAGUUCUCUAUAUCUACUUAUUUCCUAACUGUAACUCUAAAUUAAAAAACAAACAAACAAACAAACAAACAAAAACCAAACAAAAAAACGGAACAAAACACUCAUACAGUGCCAAAAUCUGAGCAUAUGUUGUACUGUGUAUAUAUUAGCGUUGGGCUGAGAAAUAACAAUCUCGUGUAGUCCUACCUUUCUGCCUGAGCUGGUCUCAGUUUUACUGGAGAAAGAACAAGAAUUAUAUAGUACAUGGAUGUGAAUGGAUGUGACAUACUUUGCCUGUUCCUUUCAGUGAUGCAUUAAAUUUUAUGUUCAUUUGCCAAAUUUCUAGAUCACUUUAAGUACUGAAAUAUUUGAAUUAUUAGCCCUUCUGAAGACAUUAUCAAUACUCAUGAUUUUUUUUUUUAUAUCAAUUGGUUGAAUCUCAAUUUGAAACAUGUAAAAUAUACAGCCAUGGUUUUAAGUAUGAUCCAGUUUGAGUAAUAUCUAAUUACACUGAUAUUACACUGAUACUUAAAAGGUGCUUAGGCCUGUGAAGUCUUAAUUUCAUGUUUGUAUGAACAUUCAUAUUUUUUUUUUUGUGUGUGUCAUGAGACUGGCUGUAAAGAAGAUUAUGAUCAGCUGUCCGUAACUUCUCCAGUACAUUAUAUACAUGGUCCCUUGGAAAUACAGUUGGUUCUAACCCAUUGAUUGAUUGGUUUUGGUAAAAUCAGUAGUCUGUUCCAUAGCCUCUUAGAUUUUUAUGACCAGGAACUAGUUUAUUCUCAUAUGUUUAUGUCAUCAAAUUACAGUGACUAGAUCCCAAAUUACUUUGAAUGCAUCAAUUUUCUGGACCUCUUUUAUAUCCAAAUACCAACAAACUUCACUGAGACAACCUGAGAAUAGAACACUAAGA